rnacentral:rRNA from 1 species
UGGGGAAUUUUGGACAAUGGGCGAAAGCCUGAUCCAGCAAUGCCGCGUGUGUGAAGAAGGCCUUCGGGUUGUAAAGCACUUUUGUCCGGAAAGAAAUCCUUGGCUCUAAUACAGUCGGGGGAUGACGGUACCGGAAGAAUAAGCACCGGCUAACUACGUGCCAGCAGCCGCGGUAAUACGUAGGGUGCAAGCGUUAAUCGGAAUUACUGGGCGUAAAGCGUGCGCAGGCGGUUUGCUAAACCGAUGUGAAAUCCCCGGGCUCAACCUGGGAACUGCUUGGUGACUGGCAGGCUAGAGUAUGGCAGAGGGGGUAGAAUUCCACGUGUAGCAGUGAAAUGCGUAGAGAUGUGGAGGAAUACCGAUGGCGAAGGCAGCCCCCUGGGCCAAUACUGACGCUCAUGCACGAAAGCGUGGGGAGCAAACAGGAUU